rnacentral:sRNA from 1 species
ACAGCUUUUAUCAUUCUUGUUGUAGUUGUUGCAUUCGUCUGUCACUAUGUCUGGCCACGGAAAACAACAAUGUUGCUGUAAUAACGACAAGUCCAACCAAUGUAAUCCUAACAAUCCAGAAUAUGGGGGCCAUAAACCAGGCUAUCAGGGAGAUAAACAACAGGCUAACCUAGACAACCACUCAGACCAGUUAAACCCAAACAACCCAAAAAAAUCUGAAACACCCAAAAAGUAAAUCUAAAAUGCAAAAACUAAACGAUUUUUUGGAGAUGGGUGUGAAUUAAACCAAGUCCCUUGGUGCUACCUAGGCUGUGACUCAACAUUACACAGUGUGAUAGUUCAACCAUUAGAGAACUUAGCUUGAUGUAGACCUUGUGUAUUUCCUUGUAGAAACCUAGAUCUAGUUGAUUUCAAAUAAAAAUAAUGGGAACAAAAUA